rnacentral:tRNA from 1 species
GUGGGAUUAGCUCAGUUGGUUAGAGCGCUUGUUUGUGGCACAAGAGGUCAUGGGUUCGACUCCCAUAUCCCACCCCA